rnacentral:rRNA from 1 species
GACGAACGCUGGCGGCGUGCUUAACACAUGCAAGUCGAACGGUAAGGCCCUUCGGGGUACACGAGUGGCGAACGGGGGAGUAACACGUGGGUGCUCUGCCCUGCACUUCGGGAUAAGCCGGGGAAACUGGGUCUAAUACCGGGUAGGACAACUGCCUGCAUGGGUGGUGGUGGCAAGCUUUUGCGGUGUGGGAUGGGCCCGCGGCCUAUCGGCUUGUUGGUGGGGUGAUGGCCUACCAAGGCGACGACGGGUAGCCGGCCUGAGAGGGUGACCGGCCACACUGGGACUGAGAUACGGCCCAGACUCCUACGGGAGGCAGCAGUGGGGAAUAUUGCACAAUGGGCGCAAGCCUGAUGCAGCGACGCCGCGUGAGGGAUGACGGCCUUCGGGUUGUAAACCUCUUUCAGCACCGACGAAGCGCAAGUGACGGUAGGUGCAGAAGAAGGACCGGCCAACUACGUGCCAGCCGCCGCAGUAA